GAUGAGAGCUCCUGUUGCUCCACAUCCUCGCUGGGGUUUGGUGUCGUCAUGUUCCGGAUUUUGGCCAUUCUAAUAGUGAUGACACUGUGGCUACUUCCAACUCCCGCGUCCCCAGGCAAAGCUGUGAACUUCUGCUGCGUGACUUUCAUGGACUCCUGUGUGUGUUUCUGGGAUGUGCACCCAAGGGCAGGAUUCUUGGGCAGGAAGAAGAUUUAUGCUUAGGCUAAGCACCGUCUGACUGCACGCUGGGAUGACUGCUGUCGCCCACAUGCCCACAGCUGGGCCUGAGAGACCGCUUUCCCCACAUCAUCCCUGGCACUUGGAUCAUCUGAUCUCCUGUUUUCAUCUGCAUUUCUCUAGGGACAGAGAAAUGGGUUAUUUUCCAUCUUAUUGUGUUGCCUCCUCCACUAGACUGUGCAUUCUCUAAAGAUAGGGAAUGUAUUCCAGAAUCCAAGACCAGAGCCUGGCACACUGUGGGCAAUAAUGAAUACGUGUGGACUGAGUGACUGAUUGACUGACUGACUGAAUUAAAAGGCUAAUACACAGCCUCCUACACCUACUUUGUACCAAACCUUGACCGAGAUGGUGGUGGUACAUGUGUGCAUGUGUGUGUGCAGAUGAGGGGACACAUCAGUCCUACACCUCAAUCUACUUGGAGAAAAAGACCAAAAUAGUUAGAACUUAUUGAGGGCCUACUUUUUUGUCCAGGACUCAUAGAUAUGUAAUCAUAAUCUUAAGUUCAGCAAGGUAAGUAUUUCUCGCUCACAUGCAAGGUGUUUGCAAGCAUGGCAGAUCUGGUGUGGUAGCCAGCCUCCCAGGUAGCCCUCAAUGAUCCUUGUCUCCUGGUAUUCACCUCCCUGCAUAGGCCCCUCUGAAUCAGAUCUGACUGUGUGACCAAAAGAAUAUGGCAAAAGUCACAGUGUGUGACUCCCAAAUCCAGCUGAGAAAGGCAUUGAGCUUCUGCCUGUUCUCUUGAAUCACUCACUCUGGGGAUAGCAGCCACCAUGACAUGAGGACACUCAAGUUGUCCCGUGGAGAGGUCUAUGGAAAGGGGAACCGAGGUCCCCAGCCUACAGCCAGCACCAACCUACCAACCACGGCUUUUCUCAAGGUCACACAACCAGAAAGUGAUGGAAGCAGACUUUGGCCUGACAGCAAUUUUCCCCACUUGCCUCAUCCCAUAGCAAUUCUUAGAGAACAAGAUCGCGACCCAGCCUUCGUUGCAGGUAGGGCAGCCACGUGGAUAAUUCUGGCCAAUGAGAUGAAGAUAGAAGUUCCUAUGGAGGGUCCACUUCCUCAGAUGAAAUGGCAGUCUCCUGAGAAGGCUUUGCCUUUUACCUUCACCUUCUUUCUGCCUGGAAUGGAGAUGCAGUUCCUGGUGUAGCAGCCAUCUUGAUGCCAUGAGGACCAAAAUCACAUGCUCAGGAGGGCAGAGUGAAACGCCGGAGCAGCUGGGUCCCUGAUGUUCUCCUUGAACAGCCACACUGGCCCCUGAUCUCUUGGGGGGGCAGGGGACUCUCCUAUUUGGUGAAGCCACCGUAUUGGGUUUCUAUGAUAUACAGUCAAAUGCAAGCUGUUAUCAACACAUCCAGGCCUCCUAAUAAUGUUCGUACCAUUAUCAUCUAUAGUGCCUGUGUGCCAGGCACUGAACUAACAAUGCCUCACACUCACUGUCUCCUUGCAUUCUCACCAUCCUAGAAUUAUCAUCAUGUUACAGAAAGGGAAAUUAGGGCUCUGAGGUGUUAAGCUAGGAGAGGGGCAGAGUCAAGGUUGUGGGUUCGAUCUCUAGUCAGGGCACAUACAAGAAG